rnacentral:rRNA from 1 species
CUUGCACCUUUCAAGUGAGUGGCGAACGGGUGAGUAACACGUGGACAACCUGCCUCAAGGCUGGGGAUAACAUUUGGAAACAGAUGCUAAUACCGCAUAACAACAUUUAUCGCAUGAUAGAUGUUUGAAAGAUGGUUUCGGCUAUCACUUUUGGAUGGACCUGCGGCGUAUUAGUUAGUUGGUGAGGUAACGGCUCACCAAGACGAUGAUACGUAGCCGAACUGAGAGGUUGAUCGGCCACACUGGGACUGAGACACGGCCCAGACUCCUACGGGAGGCAGCAGUAGGGAAUCUUCCACAAUGGACGAAAGUCUGAUGGAGCAACGCCGCGUGAGUGAAGAAGGUUUUCGGAUCGUAAAACUCUGUUGUUGGAGAAGAAUGUAUCUGAUAGUAACUGAUCAGGUAGUGACGGUAUCCAACCAGAAAGCCACGGCUAACUACGUGC